rnacentral:rRNA from 1 species
GAUGAACGCUGGCGGCGUGCCUAAUACAUGCAAGUCGAGCGAACAGAUGAGGAGCUUGCUCCUCUGACGUUAGCGGCGGACGGGUGAGUAACACGUGGAUAACCUACCUAUAAGACUGGGAUAACUUCGGGAAACCGGAGCUAAUACCGGAUAAUAUAUUGAACCGCAUGGUUCAAUAGUGAAAGACGGUUUUGCUGUCACUUAUAGAUGGAUCCGCGCCGCAUUAGCUAGUUGGUAAGGUAACGGCUUACCAAGGCAACGAUGCGUAGCCGACCUGAGAGGGUGAUCGGCCACACUGGAACUGAGACACGGUCCAGACUCCUACGGGAGGCAGCAGUAGGGAAUCUUCCGCAAUGGGCGAAAGCCUGACGGAGCAACGCCGCGUGAGUGAUGAAGGUCUUCGGAUCGUAAAACUCUGUUAUUAGGGAAGAACUAAUGUGUAAGUAACUAUGCACGUCUUGACGGUACCUAAUCAGAAAGCCACGGCUAACUACGUG